AGGAAAUAGAUACCCAGGUAGUCCACGCCCUAAACGAUGUCAACUAGUUGUCGGGUCUUAAUUGACUUGGUAAACGCAGCUAAACGCGUGAAGUUGACCGCCUGGGGAGUACGGUCGCAAGAUUAAAACUCAAAGGAAUUGACGGGGACCCGCACAAGCGGUGGAUGAUGUGGAUUAAUUCGAUGCAACGCGAAAAACCUUACCUACCCUUGACAUGGUCGGAAUCCCAGAGAGAUUGGGAGUGCUCGAAAGAGAACCGGCGCACAGGUGCUGCAUGGCUGUCGUCAGCUCGUGUCGUGAGAUGUUGGGUUAAGUCCCGCAACGAGCGCAACCCUUGUCAUUAGUUGCUACGAAAGGGCACUCUAAUGAGACUGCCGGUGACAAACCGGAGGAAGGUGGGGAUGACGUCAAGUCCUCAUGGCCCUUAUGGGUAGGGCUUCACACGUCAUACAAUGGUACAUACAGAGGGCCGCAACCCGCAGGGGGAGCUAAUCCCAGAAAGUGUAUCGUAGUCCGGAUUGCAGUCUGCAACUCG
rnacentral:rRNA from 1 species